rnacentral:miRNA from 1 species
CUGGGUUGGCCAAAAAACUCAUUUGGGUUUUUCUAUAAGAUGUUAUGGAAAAAUCUGAAUGAACUUUUUGGCCUA